GGGGGUGACCGGUUUUGACAGCAGGCAGAGUCGGAUGGUAAGCAUGCCGAGCGUUGUAAGGGAGCUCGUAAAUAUCAACUUUCAAACUACAAAUGGCGAUAAUAGCUAUGCACUCGCUGCCUAAUUUUUAGAGUAAAAAUUGGCUUAAUCGGGGCGCCCGAGGAGGUGUUCCGACGAGUAUCCCGCCGAUCGUCCCGCUCUUUGGCGAAAGGCAUACGGGGUAUCAUUCCAAGGAGAUAGUCCGGAGAAAGUCUGUAACUCCGGGCGAAACGAACAGACUAAGGGUAUCGCUUUGCCUGCUUCUCGCAGGGCGGUACCCCGACAAUCAAGCAGAAGCUAAGCAUGUAGAAAGCCGUUUGGUUCCUUGUUUGGACGAGGGUUCGAAUCCCUCCACCUCCAC
rnacentral:tmRNA from 1 species